rnacentral:rRNA from 1 species
AUUGAACGCUGGCGGCAGGCUUAACACAUGCAAGUCGAGCGAGCGGCGGACGGGUGAGUCAUGUCUGGGAAACUGCCUGAUGGAGGGGGAUAACUACUGGAAACGUUAGAUAAUACCGCAUACCCUCAGAUGUGCCCAGAUGGGAUUAGCUAGUCGGUGGGGUAAUGGCUCACCUAGGCUACGAUCCCUAGCUGGUCUGAGAGGAUGACCAGCAACACUGGAACUGAGACACGGUCCAGACGCCUACGGGAGGCAGCAGUGGGGAAGAUUGCACAAUGGGGGCAAGCCUGAUACAGCCAUGCCGCGGGUGUGAAGAAGGCUUUCGGGUUGUAAAGCACUUUCAGCGAGGAGGCGUUACUCGCAGAAGAAGCAACGGCUAACUCCGUGCCAGCAGCCGCGGUAAUAC